UAUUUGUAAUCGUCAACCAGAGUUACAUUUGAGCUUUUUGUAAUAUCACCGGUCGAUACAAAUAGACGAACAUGCUCUCUAGGACAAUGACUAUAGCGAGUCAUACAGUCGAAUAGCGAGCGUAGAGUUGAACAGUAGCAUUGAGCGAGCGACGAUUACGACCGACAUACACUGUCUUUGUACUUGUAUUUAAAAUCUCCGCUCCAUACAAUGGGAGCCACGCUCCCUACCAACAAGCUGAACAUCUCGUGAACAGAUUCCCGAAACUCGCAACUGUUCAUUCUGUGGCUUGAG
rnacentral:misc_RNA from 1 species